GACUUGGUAGCAUAUUUGGUAAAGGCUGAACUUCUAUUAUAGUGUAUUAGCAUCUAGAUAAUGUUGCUGGUUCAAAUCCUGCCCAAGUUA
rfam:Puccinia sorghi strain RO10H11247 Scaffold_1142, whole genome shotgun sequence.